rnacentral:rRNA from 1 species
GGCGAACGCUGGCGGCGUGCCUAACACAUGCAAGUCGAACGAGGUAACAGGAAAGCUUGCUUUCGCUGACCUAGUGGCGAACGGGUGAGUAACACGUGAGAAACCUGCCUUUGAGUGGGGAAUAACUCGAGGAAACUCGGGCUAAUACCGCAUAUCUUCUUCGGACCGCAUGGUUUGUUGAAGAAAGAAUUUCGCUCUUAGAGGGUCUCGCGGCCUAUCAGCUAGUUGGUGAGGUAACUGCUCACCAAGGCUACGACGGGUAGCUAGAUUGAGAGAUCGAUCAGCCACACUGGGACUGAGACACGGCCCAG